rnacentral:lncRNA from 1 species
AGAUACUUAUGCAGUGCCACAAUCCUCACACUGAUUUCUAUAAUUACAGAUUACAACAGUGGCAAUUUAAAAGGUUAGAGAGCUGUGGUAAUUUGCUAUGUCAUCCUCAGCUAUAUUAAUGUCUCUGCGCACCAAAGAUAAUUGAAAAUGUAAUAAUGGGCCAAAUCAGAUGGCUUGCCCAUGGUCUCGUCACCAAAAACAUCUCCAACCUGAGUAUAUUAGUAAAGUCAAGUCCUUGAUAAUUAGCCUCUUUCAUUAUUAAGUAGUCCCACUACUCAUUUGGUUUACAGUGAAGGGAAGGGAGAAAAUAUGUAGAUAUAUGGGCCAGAAUAUGCAAAAACAGAAACAGAAGCUUUGGGAAAGACGCAACGCGGAGACAACUACAAUCGCCUUGUUCCAGACAGAAAGCAGAGCAAAGGAGAGAUCUUUGGUAUGCAUGCGACAUGGGAACUCCAUGCUCAUCUGCUACAGUUUCUAUGAAAGCUCAUGAACUUGGGG